rnacentral:rRNA from 1 species
UAAGGAAUAUUGCUCAAUGGGAGAAAUCCUGAAGCAGCAACGCCGCGUGGAGGAUGAAGGGUCUAUGACUUGUAAACUCCUGUAAAGAAGGAAAAAAUUCCCAUUAGAUGGGAGAUGAUGGUACUUCUGGAGUAAGCCCCGGCCAACUACGUGCCAGCAGCCGCGGUAAUACGUAGGGGGCAAGCGUUGUCCGGAUUUACUGGGUGUAAAGGGUGCUCAGGCGGAUUUGUAAGUCAGAGGUGAAAUCUUACAGCUUAACUGUGAAACUGCCUUUGAUACUGCAAGCCUAGAGUAUGGAAGAGAGUGAUGGAAUAUCUGGUGUAGCAGUGAAAUGCGUAGAUAUCAGAUAGAACACCAAUGGCGAAGGCAGUCACUUGGUCCAUUACUGACGCUAAAGCACGAAAGCGUGGGUAGCAAACA